UACGGAGGGUGCGAGCGUUAUCCGGAUUCACUGGGUUUAAAGGGUGCGUAGGUGGGCAGGUAAGUCAGUGGUGAAAUCUCCGGGCUUAACCCGGAAACUGCCAUUGAUACUAUCAGUCUUGAAUACCGUGGAGGUAAGCGGAAUAUGUCAUGUAGCGGUGAAAUGCUUAGAUAUGACAUAGAACACCAAUUGCGAAGGCAGCUUACUACCCGAAUAUUGACACUGAUGCACGAAAGCGUGGGGAUCAAACAGG
rnacentral:rRNA from 1 species